CAGCUCUCCGAGUGGUAGGGACGAUUAUUGGGCUUAAAGCGUCCGUAGCCGGCCUGGCAAGUCUUCCGUUAAAUCCAACGAUUCAAUCGUUGGACUGCGGGAGAUACUGUCAGGCUAGGGGGCGGGAGAGGCCGACGGUAUUCCCGGGGUAGGGGUAAAAUCCUAUAAUCCCGGGAAGACCACCAGUGGCGAAGGCGGUCGGCUAGAACGCGCCCGACGGUGAGGGACGAAAGCUGGGGGAGCGAACCGGAUUAGAUACCCGGGUAGUCCCAGCCGUAAACGAUGCGGGCUAGGUGUUGGAGCGGCUACGAGCCGCUUCAGUGCCGCAGGGAAACCAUUAAGCCCGCCGCCUGGGGAGUACGGCCGCAAGGCUGAAACUUAAAGGAAUUGGCGGGGGAGCACCACAAGGGGUGAAGCUUGCGGUUUAAUUGGAGUCAACGCCGGGAAACUUACCGGGGGCGACAGCAGGAUGAAGGCCAGAUUGAAGGUCUUGCUGGACGAGCUGAGAGGAGGUGCAUGGCCGUCGCCAGUUCGUGCCGUGAGGUGUCCUGUUAAGUCAGGCAACGAUCGAGACCCACGCCCCCUGUUGCCACCGAGGAGGUUUCUCCAAGGGGCACUCUGGGGGGACCGCCGCCGACAAGGCGGAGGAAGGAGUGGGCCACGGCAGGUCAGUAUGCCCCGAAUCCCCCGGGCCACACGCGAGCUGCAAUGGCUGGGACAGAGGGUUCCGACCCCGAGAGGGGAAGGUAAUCCCUAAACCCAGCCGUAGUUGGGAUCGAGGGCUGAAACUCGCCCUCGUGAACAUGGAAUCCCUAGUAAUCGCGCGUCAUCAUCGCGCGGUGAAUACGUCCCUGCUCCUU
rnacentral:rRNA from 1 species